rnacentral:rRNA from 1 species
GACGAACGCUGGCGGCGUGCUUAACACAUGCAAGUCGAACGUGAUUGGAAGCUUGCUUCCAUGAAAGUGGCGCACGGGUGAGUAACGCGUGGAUAACCUGCCCUGGUAUCUGGAAUAACAUCUCGAAAGGGGUGCUAAUACCGGAUAAGCCCACGGCUUCCUCGGAAGCUGCGGGAAAAGGUGGCCUCUAUUUAUAAGCUACCGUAUCAGGAUGGGUCCGCGUACCAUUAGCUAGUUGGUGGGGUAAUGGCCUACCAAGGCGACGAUGGUUAGCUGGCCUGAGAGGAUGAUCAGCCACACUGGAACUGAGACACGGUCCAGACUCCUACGGGAGGCAGCAGUGGGGAAUUUUGCGCAAUGGGGGAAACCCUGACGCAGCAACGCCGCGUGAGUGAUGAAGGCUUUCGGGUCGUAAAGCUCUGUCAGAGGGAAGAAAUGGAAACGGUUAAUACCCGUCUUCCUUGACGGUACCCUCAAAGGAAGCACCGGCUAACUCCGUGCCAGCAGCCGG